rnacentral:rRNA from 1 species
UACGUAGGGUGCGAGCGUUGUCCGGAAUUAUUGGGCGUAAAGAGCUUGUAGGCGGUUUGUCGCGUCUGCUGUGAAAAUCCGGGGCUCAACCCCGGACUUGCAGUGGGUACGGGCAGACUAGAGUGUGGUAGGGGAGACUGGAAUUCCUGGUAUAGCGGUGAAAUGCGCAGAUAUCAGGAGGAACACCGAUGGCGAAGGCAGGUCUCUGGGCCACUACUGACGCUGAGAAGCGAAAGCGUGGGGAGCAAACAGGAUUAGAUACCCU